rnacentral:rRNA from 1 species
UACGUAGGGGGCAAGCGUUGUCCGGAUUUAUUGGGCGUAAAGAGCGUGUAGGCGGUUUGGUAGGUCCGCUGUGAAAACUCGAGGCUCAACCUCGAGACGCCGGUGGAAACCAUCAGGCUAGAGUCCGGAAGAGGAGAGUGGAAUUCCUGGUGUAGCGGUGAAAUGCGCAGAUAUCAGGAAGAACACCCGUGGCUAAGGCGGCUCUCUAGUAACGGGUACUGACGCUGAGACGCGAAAGCGUGGGGAGCGAACAGG